rnacentral:rRNA from 1 species
GACGAACGUUGGCGGCGUGCUUAACACAUGCAAGUCGAACGGAAAGGCCCUGCUUUUGUGGGGUGCUCGAGUGGCGAACGGGUGAGUAACACGUGAGUAACCUGCCCUUGACUUUGGGAUAACUUCAGGAAACUGGGGCUAAUACCGGAUAGGAGCUCCUGCUGCAUGGUGGGGGUUGGAAAGUUUCGGCGGUUGGGGAUGGACUCGCGGCUUAUCAGCUUGUUGGUGGGGUAGUGGCUUACCAAGGCUUUGACGGGUAGCCGGCCUGAGAGGGUGACCGGCCACAUUGGGACUGAGAUACGGCCCAGACUCCUACGGGAGGCAGCAGUGGGGAAUAUUGCACAAUGGGCGGAAGCCUGAUGCAGCAACGCCGCGUGCGGGAUGACGGCCUUCGGGUUGUAAACCGCUUUCGCCUGUGACGAAGCGUGAGUGACGGUAAUGGGUAAAGAAGCACCGGCUAACUACGUGCCAGCAGCCGCGGUGAUACGUAGGGUGCGAGCGUUGUCCGGAUUUAUUGGGCAUAAAGGGCUCGUAGGUGGUUGAUCGCGUCGGAAGUGUAAUCUUGGGGCUUAACCCUGAGCGUGCUUUCGAUACGGGUUGACUUGAGGAAGGUAGGGGAGAAUGGAAUUCCUGGUGGAGCGGUGGAAUGCGCAGAUAUCAGGAGGAACACCAGUGGCGAAGGCGGUUCUCUGGGCCUUUCCUGACGCUGAGGAGCGAAAGCGUGGGGAGCGAACAGGCUUAGAUACCCUGGUAGUCCACGCUGUAAACGGUGGGUACUAGGUGUGGGGUCCAUUCCACGGGUUCCGUGCCGUAGCUAACGCUUUAAGUACCCCGCCUGGGGAGUACGGCCGCAAGGCUAAAACUCAAAGGAAUUGACGGGGCCCCGCACAAGCGGCGGAGCAUGCGGAUUAAUUCGAUGCAACGCGUAGAACCUUACCUGGGUUUGACAUGGAUCGGGAGUGCUCAGAGAUGGGUGUGCCUCUUUUGGGGUCGGUUCACAGGUGGUGCAUGCCUGUCGUCAGCUCGUGUCGUGAGAUGUUGGGUUAAGUCCCGCAACGAGCGCAACCCUUGUUCACUGUUGCCAGCACGUUAUGGUGGGGACUCAGUGGAGACCGCCGGGGUCAACUCGGAGGAAGGUGGGGAUGACGUCAAGUCCUCAUGCCCCUUAUGUCCAGGGCUUCACGCAUGCUACAAUGGCUGGUACAGAGAGUGGCGAGCCUGUGAGGGUGAGCGAAUCUCGGAAAGCCGGUCUCAGUUCGGAUUGGGGUCUGCAACUCGACCUCAUGAAGUCGGAGUCGCUAGUAAUCGCAGAUCAGCAACGCUGCGGUGAAUACGUUCCCGGGGCU